ACAAAGCCAACAACCACAGUUACAACAACUAGCGCUGCACACCAAGCGAAAAUGAAAAUUUAUUAAAAAUCAACUCACAGUGAUAUGCAAGAAACCAGAAAGAACAAUAUAUAUGUAGAAGUAAAUAAUCCCAACUAUGAAUAUGCCCAAAACAGUUGAAAGUGAAGCUUAGCGGAGCUCAGUGACAGUUGUUGUUGUUGCCUUUUUGUUAUAUAUAUAUAUCUUACCCUUGUUGUUAUUGGUGCUGCAGCUGUUAAUGAUGAUGACAUACAAAAGACUUAGGCAACGAACUUGCUAGCUGCUACGCCUGCAUCGUAUAAGUUACCCGAUUGAAAGCAGUUCAAGUUAUUUUUGGACCCUGAUCGAAUUCCAAAAUAAACAAGUAAAAUAAUA
rnacentral:sRNA from 1 species